UGGUGGGUAGUUUGACUGGGGCGGUCUCCUCCUAAAGAGUAACGGAGGAGCACGAAGGUUGGCUAAUCCUGGUCGGACAUCAGGAGGUUAGUGCAAUGGCAUAAGCCAGCUUGACUGCGAGCGUGACGGCGCGAGCAGGUGCGAAAGCAGGUCAUAGUGAUCCGGUGGUUCUGAAUGGAAGGGCCAUCGCUCAACGGAUAAAAGGUACUCCGGGGAUAACAGGCUGAUACCGCCCAAGAGUUCAUAUCGACGGCGGUGUUUGGCACCUCGAUGUCGGCUCAUCACAUCCUGGGGCUGAAGUAGGUCCCAAGGGUAUGGCUGUUCGCCAUUUAAAGUGGUACGCGAGCUGGGUUUAGAACGUCGUGAGACAGUUCGGUCCCUAUCUGCCGUGGGCGCUGGAGAACUGAGGGGGGCUGCUCCUAGUACGAGAGGACCGGAGUGGACGCAUCACUGGUGUUCGGGUUGUCAUGCCAAUGGCACUGCCCGGUAGCUAAAUGCGGAAGAGAUAAGUGCUGAAAGCAUCUAAGCACGAAACUUGCCCCGAGAUGAGUUCUCCCUGAGACUUUAGGUCUCCUGAAGGAACGUUGAAGACGACGACGUUGAUAGGCCGGG
rnacentral:rRNA from 1 species